rnacentral:misc_RNA from 1 species
GAACUGCGAUAAGUCAUGUGAAUUGCAGAAUUCCGUGAAUCAUCGAACUCUUGAACGCAAAUUGCACUUAGGUGUUGAACUUAAGUGUGUCUGCUCGAGUGUCGGCAAUAAAUACUCAUUCUUUGAAUGAUAUUGAAGGUUCAUAUACACUGUGAUCCUUUGAAAUGAAUGUAGGUAUGGUUCAAUCAAUACAGUCUUGCGUUGAGUAAGAUGGCUUGUAUUUAUGAAUCACGUAUAACUUAUGCUUAAUUCUUAAGCUUAAUGUUUAUAUGUUGAUUGAUAUGAUAUUAGUCCAUGUCUCAAGCGACUUGUAGAGAAUCACUCCUAGCUUGUUUUAUGGCUUAAUCGCCUUUAUCGAACAAACUUUCAAAUACUCGACCUCGAAUUAGACAAGAUCACCCGGUGGACUUAAGCAUAUUAUUAACCGGAGGAAAAGAAACUAACAAGGAUGCCCUUAGUAAC